rnacentral:rRNA from 1 species
GACGAACGCUGGCGGCGUGCUUAACACAUGCAAGUCGAACGAUGAGGCCGGAGCUUGCUCUGGUGAAUUAGUGGCGAACGGGUGAGUAACACGUGAGUAACCUGCCCUUGGCUCUGGGAUAACUGCGGGAAACUGUAGCUAAUACCGGAUACGACCCUCGGCGGCAUCGCCAGGGGGUGGAAAGAAUUUCGGUCAAGGAUGGACUCGCGGCCUAUCAGCUAGUUGGUGAGGUAACGGCUCACCAAGGCGACGACGGGUAGCCGGCCUGCGAGGGGGACCGUGCACGCUGGCACUGAGACACGGCCCAGACUCCUACGGGAGGCAGCAGUGGGGAAUAUUGCACAAUGGGCGCAAGCCUGAUGCAGGAACGCCGCGUGAGGGAUGACGGCCUUCGGGUUGUAAACCUCUUUUAGUAGGGAAGAAGCGAAAGUGACGGUACCUGCAGAAAAAGCACCGGCUAACUACGUGCCAGCCGCCGCAGUAA